rnacentral:rRNA from 1 species
UACAGAGGGGGCAAGCGUUGUUCGGAAUUACUGGGCGUAAAGGGCGCGUAGGCGGCCUGCUAAGUCGAACGUGAAAUCCCUGGGCUCAACCCAGGAACUGCGUCCGAUACUGGUUGGCUUGAAUCCGGGAGAGGGAUGUGGAAUUCCAGGUGUAGCGGUGAAAUGCGUAGAUAUCUGGAGGAACACCGGUGGCGAAGGCGGCAUCCUGGACCGGUAUUGACGCUGAGGAGCGAAAGCCAGGGGAGCAAAGCGGG